rnacentral:lncRNA from 1 species
UUUUUUUUUUUUUUUUUUAAGAUUUCGGUUUGUCAGACUGAAUGAGCUCAUUUCAUGCAGCGAGGGUUUUGUGGGGCCUGAGCUGGCCAAGGCCAGUAGGAGUAAGCUUUCUUGUGUGAAGAAUUUGGUGAGGGAGGUGCCAGUCCAGGGUAUCAGUCCCCAAAAUGAGGGUGGCUGUCCCUUUGUCCAAACCUCACUCGGUUGCCUUUUUCUUGGGCCGCCCGACUUCCUGUCACAACUAGAAAGAGAAGUUAUUUUUUCAAACGAGGAGCCGGGCCCUCGGUCCACUUCCCGCCCAGCCAGAGCUCACCUGGUGGGCUUGGGGUUUGGUUUUCACAGUUUCCGAGUUAAAACUGCAGGCCACGUCCACCUCCCAGAUCACCCACGAGGGCAUAGUGAGCAUCCUGAGUGGCCAUAGGCAUUUUUUUUAUUAGCAGCUUGAAGACCUGGAUCCAGGUGUCCCCAAGAAAACUCCAAGUGCCCGGUUAACUCAGUAAGUCAGCCAGCUGAGAAGACGGUGAAUGUCCAGAACAAGUUGUCAGCUGAGGUGGCACAAAAUCGUGGUCUCCCCUCACUCAGGGGACAGAGUGCUCCUGCCAGAGGCUCCGCCCCGUGACAUUCUCUGGGCAGUGGUCCUCCAUUUGCCCUGUUCUUGGCAUGUUCUUGGCCCAUGUGGAGAGCAGUGAAGGAACUGGGAGCUGCUGCCCCCUUUCUGCUCAGGAGAAGUCUCCUCACCCCACAUCUGUCCGCCCAGCUUCGUCUGGGGCAGCUACACAGAAGCCUCCAGAAGCCACAGUGGGUCCCUGGAUGUUCCAGCCCACUGAGGGAACGCGGUCUCAUUUGGAUUUGCAGUGUUAGUUAGGACCUUCUUUAUUUACAUGACCAGGUUUUUGCCUUCCAUCAAGGCGCAAAACUCCAUCACUGUCGCUCCCGAAGCCCAGAAUAAAGAGGCGUUUUAAGUGGCGAGUCUGGCGCUGGUGUUAAAACAACAUCGUCGUUGAAAGGACGACACUGGGCGAGAGCUGCCUGGCAGUUCUGUCCUGGGGGCAUGGGGGGGGAGGGGGGGAGGGGGGGCGGCCCUGAGUGUAGAAGAUGCCCAGGAAGGACACUGGCUCCCGCUGCAGUUUGUUUCUGUCCUUUGGCUGAGUGCCAGAUUUCUUCAAGAAAAUAGAUUACUGCAGGAAAAAACAAAACAAAACAAAACCCGCAAACCACUGGCUUAGUCAAAACCUUUGCUUUGUGGGAGGGCUGCCGCAGGAAAGAGGAUGCCUUGAACCUCAGGAAAGGUUCAGGAAACCGAAGGACCCCUAAAUCAGCCCUGCUUUGCCAAGACCCCAGGAUAGAGCCCAUGGACCCUGUGGCCCAAGAAGUCUGCAUGAACUGGAUGCAUUUCCUGGGGCUCGCUCAGGCGUGGGAGGAAAUUCCACCCUGCCCCUUCUCUUCCUCCUGCCAUCUUUCCGGUUAAAUUCUGGUUUUGUCCAUAUUAGCACAGUCCAGCCCCUCCCCUACAGCACCGCCCGGUAGAUGGUCAUUUAUUUCCUGAGGGCCAGGCAGGGUCCAGGCACCCUUAGCAGGCAGGAGCAAGCCAAUUAUACCUGAGGUCUGUCACCUCCCCAGGUCCUCACCUCCUAUGACAGUGGGGAGGCCAUGCUGUGAGGACAUUUCAUUCACCCAGUAGCAAAUUGGCCUGGAGGGUUCUCCCUCUCCUGGUUUCAUUGGGGGGCUAACAAUCCUUAACAGUUAACACCCCCUCAGCGGCGGUGUAAAUACGGUUGUCGCCCCAAAGGAAUGGGCUUUGAGCCAGCAGACUCGCUCCACAGCCUCCCAGGAGACACCAUCAGCAUUUAUUGAGCCCUGACUGUAGGGUGGGCGCCGCUCUGUGCUGAGCCAGGCGCCCUUGCUCAUUAAUCACAACAGGCCUGUGAAAUAAGUAGCAUUCGCUCUCUCUUGCAAAUGCGGAAAAUGGAGACGAUUAAGAGAUUCCAUUCUAGGAAAAUUGCCAGAGUCACAAGGGACUUUGGCCUGAGACUCCAGGAAAAGCCAUGUUAAAACAAAGCUGAGGCAGGUUUCUGGUGAGGGUUGGCCCAGCAGCUCAAAACUCUUAGGAAUGACCUUGUUCCUAUGGGGUCCUGAGGUGACAGCCAUCAAAAUACCAUAUGCCAGCCAAAGUCCUGAGGGUCACUUAGCCUGGAGCAAUCAUUGUAGCUCAGGAAUGGGUGGUACUGCCUGGUUCACCCCAGGUUGGUUGCUACCUACCGAGUUAACGAUGAAGAGAAAAGCUCAGAGGGGUCAAGUAGGCUGCCCAAGGCCAUGGCCAGGAUGACGACCCACCUUGCUGACAGAUGAGCAGACUGAGGCUCAGGAGAAGUGUGCCUGAGCGCCCAGCUAGGAAGCAUCAAGGUCAAGACUAAGACCCAAGGUUGAGGGUGUCAGAAAGCAUGCAGAAGAGCCACUGCCCGACUCAGUGUCUCUUCCUGCCUCCGUAGAACUGAAAUUAGGGCCUGAAGUCCUGUGCAUUCCCUUGCCUGCUUAGUUAAUGCCUUUCUCAGACCUUGGGGAGCCCUGGGAAGGUCUGUGUUGGUCCCCACUGAGUGACUUGUGUGGUGAGUGAGCAAACCAAUGCCUCUUGCCUCUGGGGAUUUCUGGUCCCCCUCUGACAACUUGGGGAGUAGCCCUGAUGGCUUUGCCUCGCUUGGAGACUGCUGCUCCUGUGGGAUUCCAGGACUGUCAUCCGAGCAGUGUUUACAGGGAGCAGAGCGUCCCAACCCAAGGUUAAAGAUAGCACCACUCAGGGACUCAGCCCCGAAAGGCGAGAUGACCAGCCCCCAGGACCGUGGCACUUGGCUGGCACCAUGGGGCACUAACUGUCCCUAGAGAAAGGUUGGGUGGGGGUUUGGAUUCCUUCAGGUGAUUGAGUCAGGACUGGACAAAAGGUGUUUCCACCCAGCAGUUGCCACAACAUGUGUUAGGCAAGACCCAGCCCAAGUGCAGGGCAGCACCACCCCUACAAGCUGGGGUGAAGUGUUCCCUCCCCUGACCCUAGCAGUCUUGUUUCUCGAAGGUGUGUAGAAGCGACAGUGGCUCUCGGCACUGAACAGGACAUUUGCGAUCCCCCAGUGCAACCCUUGCCCCCUGCCCUGAGUCCUGAUGUUUCUCUUAAAAGCCCAUGAAGCAAUGGCCUUGAUCAGAUGUCACCUCCUCCUGGAAGCCCGCCCAGAUCAUCAUAAAAAACACAGCCCCAGAUGGCCUCCACCACAUCCUCCUGUGUACUUCCUUCUUAAUCUUUAUCACCGUAACUCCUGUCAUCUUUUUCUUUGUGUGCUUGUUUUUUCAGUGUGUCCCUCCCUUAGAAUGUCAACUACUGAAACUCAUUUCCCCACACCCAGAAGAAGGUCUGACUCACAGUAGCUCAUUAAGCAUUUGUUGAAUGAAUAAAUGAACUCUCUUGCUCAUUCAAAGAAGAGUGAGGCGGCCUGUGUAGCUGGAUCAGAGGCUGUGAGGGGAGACACAGGUAGAUGGUGCAGGGCCUUCAGUCCCUGAAAAGCAGUGUGGGUUUUAUCCUUAGGGCGAUGGGCAGCCAUGGCAGAGUUUCACACCAAGGAGAGAUAUGACCUUAUUUAUUUAAGCCUUGAGUUCACUCUGGCUACAGCGAGAGGAACAGAUUGGAGGGAGGCCAUGGAAUGGAGAGAAGUGGACAGAUUCCAGAUCUGCUUUGGAGUAGGGCUGGCAAGACUUGAUGAAUUGGUCUGGGAGGAAGGAGGGGAGUCUAAGAUGGAUUCCUAGGUUUUUGACCAGAGACAGUAAGUGGAUGGCUGAGGGGGCUGUUUAAUGGGCUGGAGAGAAAUGGAGCAGAAUUCCUGACUUCAGGGGACUCUAGGGCAUAAUGCGGACUCUAGGGCAUAAUGGGAGCCCCGCGUAGGUGCCUCAUUCACCACUGCAGAGCCAGUACCCAGGAAAAUGCCUGGUGUGUAGUAUGAGCUCAAUCAGUGUGUGUUGACUGAAUUGAAGGCUUUCAGUGCCAGGGAAGGUAGGCCUUUGAGUUGCUGAAGUGGCUCAGGGUUGACUUCUAAAGAGCCUUAAACUCGGAGAUCAUUCGGGGCUGGCAGGUAACAGGUGAGUGAGCUGGCUGGUAGGCAGCUGUAACACAGCUUCAGCUGGUCACAAGAAAAUUUGAAAGCACUUUGAGCAUAAAACAUAUAAAAACUUGUGCAGUGCAGCUAAACCAGUGCCUAGAGGUCAGUGUAUAGCUUUAAACUUUGUUUUUCUGUCUUUUUAGGGCUGUACCUGCCGCAUAUGGAAGUUCCCAGGCUAGGGGUCAAAUUGGAGAUAACAGCUGCCAGCCUACGCCACAGCCACAGCAACACAGGAUUGGAACUGUGUCUGCAACCUACACCACAGCUUACGGCCAUACCAAAUCCCUGACCCACUGAGUGAGGCCAGGAAUCAAACCUGUGUCCUCAUGGAUACCACUCAGAUUUGUUUCCACUCCCAACGUAUAGCUUUAAAUGCUUGCACUGGAAGACAAGAAAAACAGAAUCUGCAAACUGUGUCCUGUAGGCCAAAUCCAGCCUCAUUUUGUAAAUAAAGUGUUACUGGCACAGCCACCCUCCAGAGCUCACAACUUCCUUGUGGCUGCGUUCAAGCUGCAAUGGCAAAAUUGAGCAGUUGUAACAGAGACCAUCUGGCUCCUAAAGCCUGAAAUAUCUACUGUUUAGCCUUUUACAGAAAAAGCAUGCCAAUGCCUCAUCUAAAGUUUCACUUUAGGAAGCUGGAGACAUCAGUGCAAAUUAAAUCCAAAGAAUAAACACUGCAAAUCAGGAUUCCUGUCAUGGCGCAGUGGAAACAAAUCCACCUAGGAACCAUGAGGUUGCAGGUUUGAUCCCUGACCUCACUCAGUGGGUUAAGGAUCUGGUGUUGCUUCGAGCUGUGGUGUGGGUCACAGAUGCAGCUGGGAUCUGGCACUGCUGUGGCGUAGGCUGGCAGCUACAGCUCUGAUUAGACCCCUAGCCUGGGAACCUCCAUAUGCCUUGGGUGUGGCCCUAAAAAGACAAAAAAAAAAAGAAUGUAGAUCAAUAAAAUAGAAAUGGACAAAUGAUAGAGAAAAAAGCAAUGAAACCAAAAGGUGGUUCUUUAAAAGGUUUAAUAAAAUUGAAACAUGUGCUGGUGGGGGUGGGGUGCAGCUCUGGAUCCAACCCUGGGGCCACUGCCUUGUAAUUAAUCCUCUCAUUCAGUCCAGUUUCCUCAUCUGUAAAAUGGGGUUGAUGGUAGCAGCUGCCUAAGAGCAAUCAUGGAUCAAAUGAGUUUAUCCAUGAAAACCCGGCACACCGCUCCAUGGAUCUGCUCUUGCCAUAGGCCACACUCGUUUAUACAUAUAAUACAUGGGUGAACUUUAAAAAAAUUUAAGUAGUCAUGUAUUAAGCAUCACUAGGCCCCCCGCUCCCAACAUGUGUGAGUUCACAGAUGUUGAUACUGAAAAUAAUCCAGGUUUAAAAAUAAAGACGAGUUUGUAUUUUUUACCAUCUUUUCC